GGAGGAGAGAGCAGAGUAUACCGCAGACAUCAUUUCUACUACAGUGGCGGAGCCGUACAGGACCUGUUUCACUGCAGGGGGAUCCAAAACAAGCCCCGUGGAGCAGCAGCCAGAGCAACAGCAGCCGCAAGACAUUGUUUCUCUCCCUCUGCCCCCCUUCCCCACGCAACCCCAGAUCCAUUUACACUUUACAGUCACAGAACAGAAAGUGCUGGUGGACAUCUCUUCUUGCCCCAAGAUCUUCGUUGGAAGUCCCCGGGACUUGGUGUCUUUGCCGUUCAAAGUGUUUAUGAACUCGCCAGGAGGCAUAAUGUGUCACCAUUUUAUUCUGGGCCACCCUAAAGGAUGACACCCAGCUUCAGAGACCUCCUCUUGGACGACAUCCCUGAGAAUCAAUGUUUUAGCUGUCCCAUAGUCUGACAUCUGUUUCUGAUCGCUUUUGAGCUGGCACAGGCUUAGUCAUUAAUGGCCAGGACGAUGUUAAAUGUUCUGCCUGAUUGGCUUGCAGCUACACACCUUUUGUCAUUUGCAGAGCAGCAACUCCCUCUUGAGCUCUUGGGGAGUCUUUACACAAAUACACUAGAAAAAAGGCACCCAUCCAUUUUUUUCCAUCUUGGCAUUAGCUCACAGGCAUAGUCCUGGGAUGACCUGGAGUAGAGGCAGUGGAGGAUAAAUUCAUCUUGCACAGACUUGUUUGUGCUAGUUCUAGCCUGUCUCUCGCCACAGAUCUAGCUUUUAAAUACUCAAGUGAUUGGUUUUGUGUAGGAAUGUGUGGAUUGUUGGAUUGGAAGAAUUUUCUCCCUGGAUUUCUAGUGUUUACAUAAGCAGAUAUAAAAAAAAUUUGAUCACUGAUUUAAAUAGCAGGGCUUAUUUUAAAAAGUUAUGGGUGCUUCAAGGUGGUACAGAAUAAAAAUGUCAGGGUUUUUUUUUUUUUAACAAGUCAUAAUACAACCAAAAUGUAUAUAUUAAUGUUUUGUCAGGAAAGGGUCAAAAUGGAAAAUUUGCAACAAAGACAAACUAGAAUAGAACAAGUGCAAACAGAAGCUGACAAAUAUAUGCCCCUCGUUGGGAGUUCAGCCCAUGGAAUGUUAUGUAGGACAAAAGGAAUGGAAGAGAUAUUUCAGUAACAUUUUGUUCUCUGUCAAAAACCUUCUGAAAUAUAAAUCUGCUGUGUAUUGGAGAAUGGAUACAGCAAUUGAUUCAAGUUGAAUAGCUUUCAUUUAACUAGAAUAUCCCACAGAAAGCAGUUCUUGUUCUGACAACCAUAUUUUUGCUUUCUUUCACUUAAAGAAAAUUGAAUUCAUGUUUACAUAUCUUAUAGGGUUAUUUUAUGGACAAAGACACAGGUCAAACUCCAUCACAGUGGCUAGUGUUACAACAAAUAGAAACAUUUCUAAAUGAAAUAACAUUUCUAAGCCAGGGCCAGUGCCUGCAGUAAUAAUACUAGGUUGGUAUUAUGAAGCCAUUUGCAACUAUAAAUAAUUCAGUCAUAGAUGUGCUUUUUUUAAAAUCCUGGUUUUUAAAAAUUCUAGUCUUUUGCCAGUACACACACCCAUACACAUACUUCACCUAUUUGCAUAAUAGAGGAGGAAUAUGAAUAUGUAUAUAAUAAAGUCACUUUAUUUUGGACUUUCUGAAA
rnacentral:sRNA from 1 species